rnacentral:lncRNA from 1 species
CCCCUUUAGAAGUUAUCUCCCUUUUAUUGGUUUUUUUCGACAUGGCCCCCUAAAUGUUUUUAAAGAUAUCAUGACCUUAUUUGGACAAAAGCUAGAUGUCAUCAUGAUGUAUUACCAUAUGAGGCUGCUAAGGAUUUCAUCAUUCCCUAUGAGAGUUAUGUUCCCUUGAAGCGAUUUCUUUCUUUUGAUUUUCUUAAAAAUAUUCAGAUGAAUCGAUUUGAAAACGGCAACAUGUACAAAAACAGAUGGCAAUG